rnacentral:rRNA from 1 species
CACUCCUACGGGAGGCAGCAGUGGGGAAUAUUGGACAAUGGGCGCAAGCCUGAUCCAGCCAUGCCGCGUGAGUGAUGAAGGCCCUAGGGUUGUAAAGCUCUUUCACCGGUGAAGAUAAUGACGGUAACCGGAGAAGAAGCCCCGGCUAACUUCGUGCCAGCAGCCGCGGUAAUACGAAGGGGGCUAGCGUUGUUCGGAUUUACUGGGCGUAAAGCGCACGUAGGCGGACUAUUAAGUCAGGGGUGAAAUCCCGGGGCUCAACCCCGGAACUGCCUUUGAUACUGGUAGUCUUGAGUUCGAGAGAGGUGAGUGGAAUUCCGAGUGUAGAGGUGAAAUUCGUCGAUAUUCGGAGGAACACCAGUGGCGAAGGCGGCUCACUGGCUCGAUACUGACGCUGAGGUGCGAAAGCGUGGGGAGCAAACAGGAUUAGAAACCCGUGUAGUCCCAUGA